rnacentral:rRNA from 1 species
CUGAAGAUUGAGAUAGUCGGGCUUGAUUGGGAAACAAUAACAUGGUUUAUGUGCUCGUUCUGGGUAAAUAGAGUUACUAUCAUUUAUGGUAGUAAUUUGUUCCCCGGAUAGUAGUUACGUAGCCAAUUGUGGAACUUUCUUGCUAAAAUUUUUUAGAAUACUAAUUGGUACACAUCAAUUAGUUCUUUAAAAUUAUAACGAUUAUCAAUUAACAAUCAAUUCAGAACUGGCACGGACUUGGGGAAUCCGACUGUCUAAUUAAAACAAAGCAUUGUGAUGGCCCUAGCGGGUGUUGACACAAUGUGAUUUCUGCCCAGUGCUCUGAAUGUCAAAGUGAAGAAAUUCAAGUAAGCGCGGGUCAACGGCGGGAGUAACUAUGACUCUCUUAAGGUAGCCAAAUGCCUCGUCAUCUAAUUAGUGACGCGCAUGAAUGGAUUAACGAGAUUCCUUCUGUCCCUAUCUACUAUCUAGCGAAACCACAGCCAAGGGAACGGGCUUGGAAUAAUUAGCGGGGAAAGAAGACCCUUUUGAGCUUGACUCUAAUCUGGCAAUGUAAGGAGACAUAAGAGGUGUAGAAUAAGUGGGAGAUAUUUAACUUUAGUUUUUUAUCGACAAUGAAAUACCACUACUCUUAUUGUUUCCUUACUUACUUGAUUAAAUGGAACGUGUAUCAAUUCUUAGCCAUUAUACGGAUAUAUUUAUUAUAUCUUAUGGUAUUGGGUUUUGAUGCAAGCUUCUUGAUCAAAGUAUCACGAGUUUGUUAUAUAAUUGCAAACAAAUUCUUUAAUGAGAAAUCGCAUGUUAAUGUAUUUUCAAAUUAAAAAUUUGGUAUAACUCCAAUCACUCAGGUAUGAUCCAAUUCAAGGACAUUGCCAGGUAGGGAGUUUGACUGGGGCGGUACAUCUCUCAAAUAAUAACGGAGGUGUCCCAAGGCCAGCUCAGUGCGGACAGAAACCACACAUAGAGCAAAAGGGCAAAUGCUGACUUGAUCUCGGUGUUCAGUACACACAGGGACAGCAAAAGCUCGGCCUAUCGAUCCUUUUGGUUUAAAGAGUUUUUAACAAGAGGUGUCAGAAAAGUUACCAGAGGGAUAACUGGCUUGUGGCGGCCAAGCGUUCAUAGCGACGUCGCUUUUUGAUCCUUCGAUGUCGGCUCUUCCUAUCAUUGUGAAGCAAAAUUCACCAAGCGUUGGAUUGUUCACCCAUGCAAGGGAACGUGAGCUGGGUUUAGACCGUCGUGAGACAGGUUAGUUUUACCCUACUAAUGACAAAAAGUUGUUGCGACAGCAUUCCUGCGUAGUACGAGAGGAACCGCAGGUACGGACCAAUGGCACAAUACUUGUUCGAGAGAACAGUGGUAUGACGCUACGUCCGUUGGAUUAUGCCUGAACGCCUCUAAGGUCGUAUCCGUGCUGGACUGCAAUGAUAAAUAAGGGGCAAUUUGCAUUGUAUGGCUUCUAAACCAUUAAAAGUUUUAAAUUUAAAAUUUGAAACGACAAUGGAUGUGAUGCCAAUGUUAUUUGUAAUAAAGUAAGUUGGGAGGAUCGCUGAUUACCUGAUGCCAUGCUAAUUACAUAUGAAAACAUUAUUUAAUACAAUGACAAAGCCUAGAAUCAAUUGUAAACGACUUUUGUAACAGGCAAGGUGUGUAAGUGU